CGUGGGUAACCUGCCCAAGAGAUGGGAUAACACCUGGAAACAGAUGCUAAUACCGGAUAACAACAGAUGAUGCCUAUCAACUGUUUAAAAAGAUGGUUCUGCUAUCACUCUUGGAUGGACCUGCGGUGCAUUAGCUAGUUGGUAGGGUAACGGCCUACCAAGGCGAUGAUGCAUAGCCGAGUUGAGAGACUGAUCGGCCACAUUGGGACUGAGACACGGCCCAAACUCCUACGGGAGGCAGCAGCC
rnacentral:rRNA from 1 species